UUUGCGCAAUGGGGGAAACCCUGACGCAGCAACGCCGCGUGGGAGGAUGAAGUACUUCGGUACGUAAACUCCUUUCGAUCGGGACGAUUAUGACGGUACCGAGAGAAGAAGCCCCGGCUAACUUCGUGCCAGCAGCCGCGGUAAUACGAGGGGGGCGAGCGUUGUUCGGAAUUAUUGGGCGUAAAGGGUGCGUAGGCGGUUUGGUAAGUCUCGUGUGAAAUCUAUGGGCUCAACUCAUAGUCUGCACGAGAAACUGCCGGGCUUGAGUGUGGGAGAGGUGAGUGGAAUUUCCGGUGUAGCGGUGAAAUGCCGUAGAUAUCCGGAAGGAACACCUGUGGCGAAAGCGGCUCACUGGACCACAACUGACGCUGAUGCACGAAAGCUAGGGGAGCAAACAGGAUUAGAUACCCUGGUAGUCCUAGCCCUAAACGAUGACUGCUUGGUGUGACGGGUACCCAAUCCCGCCGUGCCGUAGCUAACGCGUUAAGCAGUCCGCCUGGGGAGUACGGUCGCAAGGCUGAAACUCAAAAAAAUUGACGGA
rnacentral:rRNA from 1 species